rnacentral:tRNA from 1 species
CAAGAUAUAGCUUAAAUAAAGCAUUUAGUUUACACCUAAAGGAUUUCACAUAUCAUGAAUGUCUUGA